UUAUAUUCUCUAAAAAUUAUGAUCAAAUUAUAUUUAAAAUAUAUAUUUAUUCCCAAGCCUACAUUUCUACAUUAUGCAGGCUGGCCGCAUAGAAACCGUGUCCAUUAAUAAUACCCCUUAAAAUAUGUUUAUUGAUAUUUUAAAAAGCUUUAUUCGUAGGCAAUAUUUCUCAAUAUCAAUUUCAAAAUGGAAACAUGUUUGUCCUAAUUUACGAGCGGGGUAAUUUUUUUUAAGUUACCCUCUGUUCAAUAAACCGAACUUAUUUUUCACGAAUUUUUUUUCUGACAGCUCCCUUCUGCUUGCGAACCUCCCACUCCCUCUCUCUCUUCAAUUAUUUUCUCUCUUUAACAAUCAGCACUCAGCACCCAUCCUUCGUCACAUCUCUC
rnacentral:lncRNA from 1 species